rnacentral:lncRNA from 1 species
AUGCAUGAAUAAAUAAAGAUAUCUAUCAACACCUUUCCACAGGAAGGCUGUGCUGGGAGAGGGACUGGUGCUGGAGAAGGCAGAGGAGGGAAUCCAGAAGGCUGGCCAGCUUCUCACUUGGGGAUGGCUGGGAAGAACACCUGGCAUUGGAGUAGUCAGGAGACCCCUUAGCACCAAGCCGGAGCUCUGGCAGAACGAAGGCCAAAAGAAGCUGCAGAGAAGUCUUCUACACAGUUCGAAAAUGCCACUUGACACAUUGAAUCCUCUGGGGAAACACCAUAAGGCUGUUGAUUCUGUGUUAUGAUGGCCUGAAAACAGAGGACCAUGAAUGAAAAUUCACAAGCUGGGAAGCAGCAGAGAGAGCAAAGGAGCCAUAGUUCCAGGAAUCAACAGAAUGCUUGGGGGAGAUUCCAC